rnacentral:rRNA from 1 species
GGGGGGGGGGGGGGGGGGGGGGGGGGGGGGGGGGGGGGGCGCGGGGGCUGGGUGCGGGCCCCGGGCGGGUGAGUUGCGGCCGGGGGAGUAACGCGUAGGUAACCUGCCGGGUAGCGGGGGGUAACUGUUGGCAACGCUAGCUACUACCGCAUAAUAGUAGAUGUUGCAUGACAUUUGCUGAAAAGGUGCAAUUGCCUCACUACCAGAUGGACCUGCGUUGUAUUAGCAAGUUGGUGAGGUCACGGCUCACCAAGGCAACGAUACAUAGCCGACCUGAGAGGGUGAUCGGCAACACUGGGACUGAGACACGGCCCAGACUCCUACGGGAGGCAGCAGUAGGGAAUCUUCGGCAAUGGACGGAAGUCUGACCGAGCAACGCCGCGUGAGUGAAGAAGGUUUUCGGAUCGUAAAGCUCUGUUGUAAGAGAAGAACGAGUGUGAGAGUGGAAAGUUCACACUGUGACGGUAUCUUACCAGAAAGGGACGGCUAACUACGUG